UGGGAAAGCGGGACGAUAGACCAAACAUAUCUACGAAGAGACCGUUGGUGCCGGAAAUAUCUCUGUCUUUAGUAGUGUCCGCGAGGUAUAUUAAUUUAUAAAACAUGAGAUAUUAGUACCAUAUUGCCCGGGAAUCAAAAGAUUUUUGCAAGAUCGCAGAAUUCAGCUAGACACAAAAAAAAAGACAAUCACUACAGCCUUCCAAGAAGAUGGACUGCCUCACAAUAGUUUCCUUGAGGACUGUCUUGAAAUAUCCAGAGUUUAAGAUUCAAGAAACGGACUCUAUCUGGAAAA